GUUAAGGCCUCGAAGAGAACCAGGAGACGAAGGCACUGUCUCGGGAUGAGCUCCAUGACAGAAAGAUGCUCUUCUCCAUCCGAAGAUGGCAGCAGAUGGUGAACAGUGCCAUGCAUUCAGGACACAGAGGUCUUUACAACACACUGACAAACUGCCAGGCUGCCACAAUGGAAAAUUCUACAUGUAAUCUCACUGGACUGUAGUCAAAGACAAGUACACCAAAAAUACCACUAAAAGUUACCUUCAGACAGUGUGCAUAAGAUAUAUAUGAAAACAUUCCCUCACUGCCCCUCACACUUCCUCCUGGUGGGGACAGCAAUAACUUUGGAAUGUGGACAAGGAGCAAGCUGCCUGCCAUCCCCCCAACCCCAGGCAGGGUCAUAUGACUAAAGAACGCCCUGCCUUUGUCUGAAUUCUGCUAAUACCCUGUUACUACUAUGGUCCUGAAGGAUCACAGCCACCUGGGACCUCAUUAGAAAAGCAGACCCCUGUCCUUGCCCCAGAGCCACGCAAUCUGGGACUGCACUUCAUCAAUGCUCCCAUGUGAUUCACGGGAGGGCAUGAAUGUUUGAGACACACAACUCCUGGUGCACAUGGCUGACCUCUGGCUCUGCCUUGUCCCUUCCUAAUCCCAGUCAGGACAAUUCUGUCAAAAGCACAGCCAAGUCCAUCUUGAUAGAUUUAUUCAGAGUCUACAGAAGGCUUACCAUUUGACCAGGGUAGACUAGGCAAGGAACAUCAGCAAUGUGAAUGAUAUGCUGUAGCGGGGAAUGAGAGAAGCUCGGGGAAGCAGUCCUAGUGAGAGGUCAGGGGUCAGAGCAGAUGUGAAGGGAGGCUGUACAACGUACUUAUAUCUAAGCUUAGUCAACUUGACCACCAUAUAGAUACCAUAGGUGAGACGGGAGUGGGAGGAAAGACAGCCCUAAGGCUUCUAUUUUGGAGUAAUAGGCUGGCACUACUUUUCUAAAAGCAAGGCAGGACAGAUGGAGGAGGAAGAGAAGAAUCAGGGCAAAUAAAGAGUGCCUUCCAUUUGGGGUUUCUGUUUCAAUGGGAUAUCAAUUAAAGGUUUUUAAUAAGAA